rnacentral:lncRNA from 1 species
AUAGGCUACCUUCCAGGCAUUUCUGGUGCCCACAACUUAUGUUGUAUUUUACUAACUAUGUCAAACUUGAAAUGCUUUCUUUAGAAUUAACGGGCUGUCACGGUGUCACCCCUGCGUGUAUUUCAUAUCUGUCUAUUAGAUAACUUUUCAUAUCUCAUUAGUCCUUCUGUUUUGUCAGCUUCUUCAAAACUUUAGAGUUCAGUAUGUUCCAGGUUGGGAUUGCCAUGGCUUACCAAUUGAAUUAAAAGGUAAACAUCAUUUCUUGUGCAGCUUUCAGUUAAGUUUGUUUAAUAUUCCUGUGCUUAACACUAGAUAGUUAAAUAUGAGUCUAAUCUAUGUUAGCAGACCUAACCAACAGUUACUGAGAAUGUGCUUACGGAAGUUGGCUUUAUCCUUAAAGAUUACCAAUUUGGUGAAGUACUUUGCCUCUGGGCUACUUCUAUUGUUAUAUUCAAGGAGCAGAUAUUAGUUGUUGCUAAAGCAUUUCUGAUGCAAAAUACCUUGUCUGAAUUUCCAAAAAUUGUGAACCAAUUACAAAUCGAAGUUGCAGAUGCCAGAUGGUUGCCCAUGCAUUACAUAGAGCUUUACUUCUUUGAUUGACUUUUGUUGUCCUUUGCCUACUCUCUUUUUGAUUCCUUGACUUAGCUACACCGGUAUUUCUCAAAAUUAUAGAUCCUGUGUACUUCUGGUUGUCUUUUUCCUGAUCAAAACCACCAAUCUCUGAGACAAUUUCCAUGUUUCUUUGAGAUGUAAGAAAUGCAGAGCUAUUAUUUGUUUGAGAGCUUGUAGUCCAAAGUACAACUAUGAGAUAACAUCCACUGUUUCCCUUGAACCCAAUUGAUUAUUUUUUCCUUGGUUCCUGAUUAGAAAGUGUGCCACAAGCUUCUCCUCAAUAAAGUCUGAUCCUUUUGCUUAGAAGGUAUACAGGGAGUAGUGAAGAGUCUCUGUGGAAACACCAUUGCCUAAGUUCUUUUCUUUCACAUGCUUUAUCAGUUCCUUAUGAUUAGCACGCUGGCAUUUUCAUGCUACUCCAUCUUAUUCCUUAACUAUUUGGCAAGACUCUGCUUUGGGAAAAUAUAACUUCUUAUUCUCUGUGUCUUAAUUCAUGCUGUACCUUAAAAAAAAGAAGAUUGUUUUAAUUCAUGCUGAAAUAUCUGGAUUAUGGAUAAAAAAUAUGGAAUAAGGGUACCAAAAUUUUAGAACAUACUCGUAUGCUUUCUCCUUGUAAAAAAAAGAAGAUAUACUCAUAUGAUUCUCUCUUUCGUCUUGCCCCCUAAUUUGUAUUUUGGUGGCAUGACAGCUUAUUUUAACUUCAGUGUUACAGUCACUAGACGAUGAUGCUAGAAAGGAGCUUACACCUCUAAAAUUGAGAAACAAGGCAGCCAAAUUUGCAAAAUCAACUGUGCAGAGUCAGAUGGCAUCAUUUAAGGUUGUUUAUAUUUUGCUACUUCCUGUUCUGUAUUCUUUCAUCAUUGACCUUCUAUUCCUCCUUUCUUGUUAUUCUGCUUUAUUCCUAAUGCUAACAUCUAUGCUUGCAGCGCUAUGGAGUAUGGGCUGACUGGGAUCAGCACUAUCUAACUCUUCACCCAGAAUAUGAAGCUGCACAGGUAUGGUUACUGCAAUUCUUAUAGCCCCUUCUAUGUGUUUAGCUGAAUCUCACAUAGCUCUGCUCUUAUGAUUGGUCAAGCUUUUCUGGUUUGCUUUUGCACUAUAUGUUUUGUGUGCCUUCUCUAUUUCUUUCCUUGAUAUGUAGGCUAGCACUAGUGCUUUCUCUUUGAGAAUUAAAUUGCAUAUUUUUCUUCUUAUAUUGACAAUAAUUAUUCAAGCCAGUCUUAGAAAGCUCUUUUUUCCUGCUUGAUGCUUCUCUACUAGAUUGAAGUAUUUGGCCAGAUGGCUAUUCAAGGUUUUAUAUACAGAGGCAGGAAACCAGUUCAUUGGAGUCCCUCAUCUCGAACUGCACUUGCAGAGGCUGAACUAGAGGUAUUGGAACUUGUCAAUUGUUGUUUUUCUCGAAGAAACCUACUUUCUAUGUGACUCUUUGUUUGACCAGGGAGGUUGGUAGAACUUGAAAAAAUUGUCUAGGCAGUGAAUUCUGCUAAUUUUUGGCAGAUGAGGGUGAAACCUUGUAAAUUGUCUGGGUAAUAGUACAGUCUGGUCAUAUCAUUGUUGUAUUUCCCAUUUUAUUUUUACUAGAAGAAAUUUGGUCUGGUAAAUUUCUCUUCUCUCUCUCUCUCUCUCUCUCUCUUUUUUUUUUUUGAUUUGAAAUAUGUUAUAUCAUAAGUAAUUUACUGGAAAGGCUGAACAUGUUAAAAUUGUUGUUUUUUCUUGAAGACACCUACUUUCUAUGAGACUCUUGGUUUGACCUGGGAGGUUGUUAGAACAUGAAUAAUUGACAAGGCAGUGAAUUCUGUUAAUUUUUGGCAGAUGAGGGUGAAACCUUGUAAGUUGUCUGGGUAAUAGUACAGUCUGGGUCAUAUCAUUGUUGUAUUUCCCAUUUUAUUUUUACUAGAAGAAAUUUGGUCUGGUUAAUGUCUCUUCUCUCUCCUUUUUUUUUAAAUUUGAAAUAUGUUAUAUCAUAAGUAAUUUACUGGAAAGGCUGAAGUCUGAACAUGGUUACUUUGACCUGCUAUUCAUAUAGUUAUAUGAAUAUGUCUCUACAUAUGUAUUUUUGUGUAUGUAUAUAUUUUGUUUGUGUGUCUAUACAUGGUUCUCUCUAACAUCAAUGAAGUUUAUAUGCAGUAUAAUGAGGAGCAUGUGUCAAAAAGCAUGUAUGCUAUUUUCAGACUAGUUGGUGUACCAGCUUCAUGUGACUCAUUGAAAGAAUUCUUGCCCAAUCUAUGCUUGGCAAUUUGGACAACAACUCCUUGGACAAUACCAGCUAAUGCUGGUAAGGUGUUUUGCGAAAUCAUCACAGUUUGAACUUUUCCCCCUUUUCUUUAACUAGUCCAACUUACAAAAGGUGUUAUGCUUCGAAUGUUAUUAGCUGGAACGUUUCAUCUAGCAUAAGACAUAGUGGAACUAAGGCUUCAAAUAAAAUAUUUCCUGCUGGACAGUGGUAGUUCUAUGUUCAAGAUAUUGUAUUUGUCACUGUUGUGAAGUGACAUAAAAACACGAAAUGGUUAACUAUAAUCUGGGAAAAAUUGUUUAGAUAGGUGUGCAUUAUUUGGCACUGCUCGACAUAACCAAUUUAUGAAUUGAGUAUAUAAAAACACCCAAACACCGGAUAGUGCUGAUGCGGUUCUCUCAUGAGCUAGUUCUUGGGGUUGAGUUAGGCCCAAGGUCCAUUUUUGACAUGGUAUCCUUGCAAACCUAUCGAUUCCUGUUGUGCUUUUCAUUUUUGGGUAUUCGUGUUAUGUUAUCCACACUCCAGUUGUCUAGACGUACAGGGGGUGUUAAGUUCUACUUUCACUGAGGAAAUGGGUGAUGGUCUUCUUAUAUUGUCUUAUGCAAUUCUCUCCUUGUGAUCUAGCUAUUCGGUUGAGCUAGACCCAAUGUCCGUUUCUUCACAACUGAGUUUAUAUCCAUUGCUUAGUGAGAGUGAGCUUUUCACUUAUUAUUUCUGUUAUUGCUUUAAUUUUAAGGAAUCUGCUUCUUGGAGGAGUAUCUUUUGCUGAAUCGGGUUAGUGUGUGUUUCAGUGUCCAUUUUUAUGUUGCAUCCUUUUUCCUUCCUUUUUGGGAGAAGUAAAUAUAUGAAUUAGAAAAAGUUGUGUCUGUGAAAGGUUUAAGUAACCAAUGUUUGAUUUGUUCAAAUUUCAAAAUUUGGAAGCAUUUCGGGUUUGCGAGGUUGCACUAUAGUUUGGCAUGCUAAAUAUAUUUUCCUUUUCAAGUGAAGUUCUUGUUUGCUUUAAAAUUUUAUUUUAUUUAGCACAGUCCAUUCUCUCAACAAAAUAUAAGUGCUGCUAGUCUUUUAUCAUGUGAAGUUUUGCUUGGCUUUUCUAUAGUUUAAGGUUCAUCAAGUCGUGGUAUGGAAAUUCAUUUUUUCCAUUUCUUUUCAUAUAUUGGGGUACAACUAUUGUCUAAUAAUAUAUGUGGGGGUUUGCAGCUGUAGCGGUAAAUAAUAAGCUUCAAUAUGCCGUUGUUGAAGUUUCCUCAGCCUCUGUAGACGGUUCUACAUCUUCUGUUGAUGGAAAGAAGAGGUUUGGAAAUUUCAUGAAGGGCGAUAAAAGCCUACAUCUUAUUGUAGCUCUGGACCUUGUAUCAACAUUAGAAUCAAAAUGGGGUUUGAAGCUUACCUUGAAGAAAACAGUACUGGGUUCAGAUCUUGAAAAUUGCAGGUGACGUGUUGAUCUUGUAAGCUUGGUUGUCCCAACUUAUUAUUUUAUGCUGCCAAAUACAAUUCAAAUGGUAGCACCCUAAGGCGUGGCCUAGUGGUCAAUGAGCUGGGAGAAGAACCAUGAGGUUUCAGGUUCAUAUCUCAGCUCAGCUGAUGCAAAAAAACACUAAGUGAUUUGUUUCCAUUUGCCUAAGCUUUGGUGGGGUUAACCGGUACCUAUGCUGGUGGGAGGUAGCAGGUACCCGGAGGAAUAAUCGAGGUGCGCGCAAGCUGGCCCGAACAUCAUUGUUUAGAUUUUUUUUUCAAAUGGUAUAUUUCCAUUAUUUUUCACGAGUAUAUUCUGUCGAAAGUCCAUGCUAAAGGAUGGACCUUAUGUAUAAACCAUGUGGUCCGAUAGUUCAUGAUGAAGUUGUCAAUACUGUUCUGCACGAGUUGGUUAUCAAAAAAAAAAAAUUACUGUUGUCAAUGAGUUUCUCACACUGGUUACUAGAGAGGAAUUGUUUAUUACUUCAGAAACUUACAUCCAACUUUUCUCAGGUACACCCAUCCUAUAGAUAGCCGGGAAUGCCCCGUUGUCGUUGGUGGUGAUUACAUUACAACAGAGUCAGGAACUGGAUUAGUUCAUACUGCACCUGGUCAUGGACAAGAAGAUUAUGUAACCGGCUUGAAAUACGGUUUGCCUUUAGUUUCCCCUGUUGACGAUGAUGGGAGAUUUACAGAAGAAGCUGGACAAUUUCGGGGGCUUGAUGUGCUUGGCAAUGGCAAUGUUGCUGUUAUUGAUUACUUGGAUGAACACCUGUCAUUGGUCAUGGUAGAGCCAUACAGUAAGUGUUUUUUUCAGUGCCUAUUCUGGAUGUCUGCAACCUAUAAGUCUCGUGUGAUUUAUUAAAUAUUGUUGAUAUGAUUUCUGAAUCUAAUCCUUGUUUUUUUCUUCUAAUAAAUAAAUGUUGUGCAGAACACAAAUAUCCUUAUGACUGGAGAACAAAGAAGCCCACUAUAUUCAGGGCUACUGAACAAUGGUUUGCAUCAGUGGAAGGAUUUCGUGAUGCUGCAAUGGAUGCAAUCAACCAAGUAACGUGGAUUCCAUCUCAGGUAUUUGUUAUACUUCUUCGGCUCUCAGAUUUGCUAAAGAUAGCAGCUGGUCCUCUACUGCUUUGUAACUGUAUAAUAUGGUUCUGUCCAGGCAGUAAACCGUAUUUCUGCUAUGACAUCUGGCCGCUCUGAUUGGUGUAUAUCACGUCAAAGGACAUGGGGAGUCCCCAUUCCAGUUUUUUACCACGUUGAAUCAAAAGAGCCACUGAUGAAUGAAGAGACUAUCGAUCAUAUCAAAUGUAAAUCCCUCAUGUUGUGAUUUCCUGUACUUCUCUGUUACGCUGGAUUUUUAUUGGGGCAUGAUAAUUUCUCUGAUCAAGUAAAUGUAUUUCAUUCAUAAAAUGUGGCCAAGCUGGACUAUACAAAGGGUAUACCAAAAGGUAAAGAGUCUACAAAAGGAUAUGAUUCUCUAUAAACUCCACCCAAUCAUCUAUACAACUAGGAACUUUCUGUUCACACCAAAAGAAAAUAAAGGAACGGAGACUACUCUAUAGUCGAAAGAUACUCGACUCUACACCUUCAAAAGCUCUCUCAUUUCUUUCUCUUUAAACGAUCCACAUUAAAGCAAGUAGAAUCACAUUCCAGCCCUUCAUUUUCUCUUCCUUCUCCUGCUCUUCAAUCUGAACAUCAAAUCUUUCAUAGUAUUUGCCAUUUCCGAAUGAGUGCCAAGUCAAGACCAGGCAAAUAAAUUGAAACAGAGGGAGUAUUAUAUAUUAAAAUGUUUAGUUUGUAUUUAGAAUAUUCUAAUGUUAACCUCACACCGAAUCAUGCUUUUGCAGCUAUUAUUUCCCAAAAAGGAAGUGAUGCAUGGUGGUACAUGGCAGUGGAGGAAUUACUUCCUGAGAAAUAUCGCGAUAAAGCAUCAAACUAUGAAAAAGGGACUGAUACGAUGGAUGUCUGGUUUGACUCAGGUGAUAUAGCUUCUUUCAGUACUCUGCCUGUUGUACUAGCUCAAACAAUUUCUUUUGUGGGGAUAAAUGUUGAUCAUUGAUUGUUUGGAACUUUAUGGCACCAUUAUUAAAAUCUGAUCAUCUAUUAGUUUCUACUUCAUUUCUUGUUGUAUUUUGAAAGCAACCUCAUCUAUUCAUCAAUACUAGAUAGGAGGAUAUGAAAGUUGAGGAUUAGGGUAGAAGGUCAGUAGGUAGUCGGGCGUUGUCUAGUUUUCCUUAUCACUGUUAUUAUUUGUACUCUCCUACCACCGUAUUAUUCUCUUUUUUUUUUACCUGUUGUUCCUCUGCUUCAGUUAUUAUACUGUUUGUAGUUGCUAUUGUUUUUUUCUCCAUUAUUUCUAUAUGGUUUCUUCACUAUUUUAUUUCCUUCUCUUGUUGAUCUUGAUAUGCUUUAUUUGAUGCAAAGGUCUAUAGGAAACAACCUCUCUACCUUCACAAGGUAGGGGUAGGGCUGCAUACACAUCAUCCUCCCCCGACCCACUUGUCGGAUUACACUGCCCUUUUCUUCCAUCCUUCUCUCUCUCUCUUUUUCCUUUUUGUCUGUCUUUCUAUUAUUGUUGUCUUUUCCUUCUCUCCCCAGACCCACUUUUUUUUGAGGAACACAACUGUGUAUUCACAAAAUUCCGUCAUCCAAGCAAUGAUAAGAGUGAGCACUUACAUCCCAUAGGGUAAAAAACAGAAGGCCAUAAGAACUAGUCUAUGGAGCUUUACAAUUUCCCAAUAAAAUCAACAAAAAGUUCUAUAUGCCCCACCAUAUCCUGUUUACACCUAAAAUAUAGAAGACUAAGGCAAUUCGUUCUGAUUUUUUGAAUGUUGUUGCUUUUUUUUUUCAAAGCCUCUUGCAUUCCUUUCCUUCCACAAUGUCCACCUUGCUUGCAGGAUUAAUUCCCAGCAGUCCUCUUCUAACUCUCUUCUUCCAAUCUCUUUCCAAUCAGUCCAUACUUUUAGAAGUUUUUGGAACCACCCAACUCACUCCAAGUAUACACAAGAACAUGUUCCACAGAUUUGCAGCUGUUUUACAAUGUAGAAAUAGAUGGCUAUUUAUUUCAGCAUCCUGGUCACACAUAAAGCAUCUUGAGCAAAAUCUCUCUACCUCUUCUUUGUAGUACUUCAUGAGUCAAACAAGCAUUCCUGCAGACUAACCACAUGAAAGAAGAAACUUUUAAGGGUUGCUGUGAAGUUUCCACACUGGUCUGUCAGGUGCAUUGGUAGUUUUAUUGAAAUCAUUUAUGACCAUAAGAAAAUCUGCAACUCUUUGAAUUGCUUCUCUGUUGUUUAAUUGAUGUUUAAAAGGGUUGUGGGGAUUGACCCAAAUCCACGUGUUCCUUUAUUUUUGUUUGUCACUUGAUAUAAUUCGAAGUCCUGAAAGAACCCAACUGAGUGUCAGGCUAAGUCAAGUGGACUUGAUUACCACCACAAAGUUCUUGGAAAGAAAUUAAACCUCUGUCAGUCAAAGUUCAGGUUUAGUUGUCUAACUAUAUUUCAUGUUUAGUUCCUAAUGUAAUUUUCUUUUAGCAGUAGGAUUAUAAGUUAACCUCUGUUUACACAGGUUCCUCGUGGGCUGCGGUGCUGGACAAAAGAGAAAGCCUUAAUUACCCUGCAGAUUUGUAUCUCGAGGGGACAGAUCAGCAUCGUGGUUGGUUCCAGAGUUCCUUAUUAACAAGUAUUGCUACAAAAGGUAAGGGGCAUUUAAAGUCCUGUUCUUGAUCCUUUAUAGUAUUAGUUAAGAAUCUUUUAUUAGUCUCUUUGUUCGCCCAUGGAAAAUAUCAAUCUCAGCUAUGAGAAGUAGGAAAAGAACAGGGUUAUGUUUGAAUGUCCAGGGGAAUUGGUGAUCCCCUUAACCUCUUUUGUCUUUAUGGAUCUUUAAUUUCUACAUUUGAAACUAUGAUUAUAUUCUCUACUCUCUGCUAUUAUUGCUAUAGGUUUCUCUCUCUCUUGCCCCACUCUGUGAACUUCAUCCAUAAACCUAUAGUGUACCAUCUUGUUCUCCUUAAGAAACAGUGGUAAGUUAUAUUCUGAAAGAAGCUAAAGGAUUUGGAGUAACUCUUGGAAAUUGGAGACAUUGACAGAUGAUGCAAAAGAAGCAAAUGUCAAAAUACUUAACACGGGAUCUUAGUACAUGAUAGUUAUUACCGAUUUCAUUAUUUUUAUGUUUUGGUUCUUCGACGUGUUACCCUAUAAUAAUAUCCCCAUUGCAUGUCAUAAUUGCAGGCCAGGCCCCUUAUCACGGUGUUAUUACACAUGGAUUUGUACUGGAUGAGAGGGGGUUGAAAAUGAGCAAAUCUUUGGGAAAUGUUGUUGAUCCAAGGAUGGUGAUUGAGGGAGGGAAAAACCAAAAGGUAUGUUGCCAAUUUUGCAGCAAUUUUUGUGCAAAUCAACAUGUUCUUGACGAGAAAUGACAUCUCUACAUUUCCUUUGACAGGAAAACCCUCCAUAUAGUGCUGAUGUCUUAAGGCUUUGGGUUUCAAGUGUAGACUAUACUGGCGACAUGCUAAUUGGACCUCAAGUCCUUCGUCAAAUGUCUGACAUAUACCGGAAAUUGCGAGGAACACUCCGAUUCCUUCUAGCAAAUCUCCAUGAUUGGAAAGUAGGUUACACAGUCUCAAUUGAGGCCAUUUCCAAAUGAAAAUGUUUCCGCACAUAUUCUGAUUAUACUUGCAGCAGCAUCUUCUUUUUUUGCUAAGCUUUCUCUCUCUCUCUCACACACACACACAAAAAAAAAACACCUAGAGCAUUUGAAAUCUGUGUCAUAGAUCCCCCUUGUGCUCGACUCUUGAACUGAGUAGAACUUCUACUUGUUGAAGUUAAUGAUUUUAUUAAUUAUCUUGAAUUAGAUGUUCAACUUAACAUGGUAGUUUUCGAAGUUGAUGUUAUUUGAAAUUUUCUUUCUGCAGGCUGAUUAUACAGUCCCGUAUAGUGAUCUUCCGAUGAUUGAUCAGCAUGCAUUAUUCCAGCUUGCUAAUGUUGUGAACAACAUUAGAGAGAGCUAUGAUAGUUAUCAGUUUUUCAAAAUAUUUCAGGUAUUGUUUCUUUAAAAGCCAAGUUGAUGUUUCAAGUUCCUGAAAUGUGACGACUCUUAAACUUUGGUUACAUGGAAAAAGGAACUUGUUUGCUUGAAGAUAGUAAGAGUGUAUAUUUUGAAGAGAAGGAGGAGCUUAACAGUUUCUGUUAUGUGCAAGAGUGGGAGGGUCUGAGUCAUGGUUUAAACUAUGUGCGUCACUCUCAGUGCAUUAUCAGAUGAGAAUAUGGUUGCAACUAGCAGAUUAGUUGUGUCGUAUCUGUGUGUCAAUGUGAACUAAUUGUUUAGGUAGAUGUGGAACUUUAGCAGUGAUGUUUAACGAUGUAAAUACCAUUUCUAUCACCAGUCACAGUAAAAGUCAAGUCUUUCAUCACCAACUCUGCCAAAGUUUCAGAAGGUUAAAGGCUGAAGUUUUCCUACUUGUUCUAGUUUUACUUGAUAGUUAUAUGAUGGUUAAGAAAAAGCGAACUUGAUAUUAUGUGAAGUCUGAAGAAACUAGAAACUUAACUGAGAUUCUUUAUUCAAGGAUACAAACCAUGUCAGUUCCCUCCAAAAAAGAAAGAACCAUUUCAGCCACCAAUCAGACAUCGAAGUCAAGAUCCUGCCCAAAAAUUCAGAGUCUAAACUCUGAAGUUCUCUAGAGGCUGUCAGCUCGCUGCAGUUAUACUUUGUAGUGUGGAGCACAAAAGAUAGUUGAAGAGUUCUGGCUGCAUGGAGGAUAUUUUGGGAAAAUGAUCAAGGCUUAGCAGAAGAAGUAUGGAAGAAAAUAUUUGUUCAACAGAUGAAAAAGGUAAUACAGAAGAAAAAGUAGGACCCUUCGGGGUGGCCCAGUGGUUUGGGCUUGGGACGUCCAUGUUGGAGGUCUCAAGUUUGAAACCCCUUGCUAGCAAAAGCAAGGGGUUUCCCUUCUGAGUUGAGCUCGUCGCGCCUAGUGCGGGUUACCUCUCCUAUGUGGUUUGCGAGCUAUUGCAUAGGAGUUUUCCUCAUGCGCACCCAAAGAAUAGCAGGUGCGGGUUUUCCUUGUCAUCAAAAAAAAGAAAGAAGAAAAAGUAGGUCAAUAUCGAUGGUCCUUAAGAUUGAUAACAAGGAACAUAUGACACUAAUUUUGUUGAAUACAAUGAUUUUUUUUUCAGCGAAGGAGCAUUUCCUUUACUUUUUUUGAGAAAGUAAGGAGAAGGGGAGACGAGCCUUGGAGCAAUAGUAAAGUUGUCUCUGAGUGACCUAUAGAUCAUGUAGGCUACCCACACCAAACUCCCUUGGGGUGUGAUUUUUCCCUGAACCCUGCGUGAAUGCGGCACACUCUGAGUACAGGCCUACAGGGUUGCCCUUUUUGUUGUUGAGAAAAGUAAUGAUCUUAUUGAUAGUGCACAACUCCAAGAUGUGCUGACAACUAUGUAUAAGUAGAGCAAAAAGAAAAAAAAAACUAAAAUCAUGUAAGGAUUCCAUGAAUCCUAACGGUUAUUCAUCCUCAUUUACAAUUCCUUUCCACACCAAAAGUAAAACAAAAUUAUAAACUAAACUUAAAUCUUUAUGAACGAGUUAACACUAACUUCAAACACCUUAUGUUUAUUUUUGUCCAAAUGAUCCACCAGAUGCAGGAUCUUCAUCCUCAUGUACAAUUGUUUCUACACCAAAAUUAAAUGAAAUUAUAAAAUUAACUUAAUUUUUAUGAAACGGUUAGCAUUAUCUUAAAAAACCUUAUGUUUGUUUUGUCCAAAUGAUCCACCAGAUGCAGACUGGUAUUAAAUUCCACCACUAGUGGAUGUGUAUCUCUAUAAGCGCUAGAUGAAAAACCAUCAACUUGUUAGGGUUAGUUUUGGUUUGCCAAUAGCAUUACUGGUGGAUAUUUCUGCAAAACAGGGAGGAAAUUGAUUGAUUCUUAUCUAGUGCUAUGUUGGAUCACUGCUGAAACAGAAUAGCUUGAAUAUUUCCAAUGGAAUGUAACCUAAUGGCCUGGCUUGAAAUGAUGAGGUUAGAUUGAGAGGGAUAUCUGGAAGAAAAGCUCCAUGAUACACUUAAGGAAUGUCAUCUUCAUUGUUACCUAGUUUGUUCUAUUCCAGUACAGCGAGGAAGCUCGUCAUGUCAGGUCUUUAGCUGAGAAUAGGUACAAAAGCGGCAAAUUCUUUUUGUUGGAAAUGUAGUUAGCAAUGUCGAGGCCUAGUGUAAAAAUGUGGGAGGAGGUUUAGCUGCUAUUAAGUGGCUGCUGCUGCUGCAGUGUGUGUGUGUGUGUGUGAGAGAGAGAGAGAGAGAGAGAGAGAGAGAGAGAGAGAGGCCAGAAUAGAUUGAAGUAAAGACACAGUAGCAAUUUCUGUUAAUAUUAUGGCAAGAAGAUAACACGGAUCCUACAAAAGAUUUGACAUAUUACUCCAGUAAAAUGCUAUCUUUGUCAGAUAAAUGAUUACGGUCUUUAAAAAAUGUAGCAUUGUUUCUUGUCAAUAUUAUGGCAAUCUUUGUCGAAAUGAAUUUAAUUACCAGCUGAUGGUCACAGCUGUUUUGAUACUUAUUUACUGCUUUCAUCCCUUUAAUGGCUGACAUCCAUUUUUAUGUUAUUAUUUUUAUUGUCCGUGCAGGUGAUUCAGCGGUUUGUGAUAGUUGACCUCUCAAACUUCUAUCUUGAUGUCGCUAAGGAUCGGCUUUAUGUUGGGUAAUUCAUGUUGCAUCUCUACAUAAUCUCACCUUUUGUUCUCUUCCAAGCUUGUCUAAUGUUUCAAGUGCUGGAUUUUUUUUAAAAAAAUAACAAAAGAAUAUAAAACAAAGCAAGACAUAAUGCUACCAUAUUAAAAGAGCUUUAAAUAUUGUAAUUAUUAAGGGUUCCUUUUUCAGUUUUGGCCCCUCUUGUAUAAGGUUCUUCUGAUGAUGGCCUAUGUUAACCAGAAGUUGCUUUUUGGCUCUUUAUCUAUUAAACCCAUUUAAAUGCCAUCAAAAUGAGCUGUAUUUAGGUAAUUUUCAUACAAUAUUUUGGAAAGAAGAAAAAUAAUCAGAAAAAGUUAUACGAAAUGAGAUCUACUGCUGCUACGAGAUUAUCAUUGGCUCGCCAAAGAUCAUAAGAGUGGAGAUAAUGGGAUCCCAAAAGGCGGAAGCUGCAGAGGGAAAGAGUAGGGUCAGAUCCAUACUUUUGUGUUUAUGGGUUCUGAGUUCUAGAAAUGGCUGCUUACUGGGUUCUGGAUAAAUCAUAUAUACGUAUUAAGUGGAUUUCUUAGCACAAUUACAGGAUUUUGGCCAAAGCUACUAGAUUCUGCCGCAACCGUAGCUUGAACUCUAGCUUCGCACUUAGGAAGGAAGGCGAGAAACUACAGUAAAGGUGAUCGAGAUAAGUUACCCAAAUCGUGAAGUUGGGGGUGGCCCAAUAGUUCCCAGUGGUUUGGGCUUGGGAACUAUUCCCUAGAACAUCAACAACCUAGUAAUACUGCUUAAAAGAAGAUGGUUACAACUUGACAAGCCUAGUACAAUUGAAUUAGGACUGGACUCAUUGACCGGAGUGUUCACUCUUCGAUAGUCUUCAGAUCUUCCAGGAACAGCUCAUUGCUUGAAAGCUUUACGACUUUUUCUUUUUUUCUCUUAAUGCAUGAAUGCAUGGUUUCCUGCAGCAAGUAUAGGAUAUCUAGUCUUCUUGUUAGUAAGCACAUAAACAAGGAAACCAUAUAUCUCGAAGAUCCUGGGAAUUAAGGAGCACCCAAGGGUGUGACCUAGUGGUCAAUGAAGUGGUUGUGAAUCCUGAAGUCUCAGGUUCAGAACUCAGCGGAGACAAAAAACCACUAGGUGAUUUUUUCCAUUUGUUGUAGCCUUGGUGGACAGAAUUAUCUGGUAUCUAUUGCUGGUAGGAGAUGGCAGGUACCCCGUGGAACUAGUCGUGGUGCGCGAAAGCUGGCCUCAACAUCAUGGUCUUCAAAAAAAGAAAGAAAAAGAUCCUGGGAAUUAAGGAAAUCAUAAACAACUCCGAUUCUACAUCCAAAAGGAUUUUUUAAGAUGCGACUUUUCAAAAAUAUCUCCAUGUGGAAUCCUUUUCCAAUUCAAACACCAUGAAGAUCCUGUAAAUAUCUUACAUAUUCUUAUAUGAAUAGUACAGGAAAUAUAUAAAAAGAUAUACUUCGCAUAUAUUUUCCAAAGAUAUCUCAAUACAAGAUCUUAACAUAGAUGCUGUUUUUCAUAGCAUGCAAGAACCAUGGAAUAAGGAUCUGGUUCCUUCACAUCUUCCUUCAUAUUGUGCAUCUGUUUGUUAAUUAGACGUUAAUCUCAAUAAUGGGUAAUCUCGGUCGACUGGAAUUGGAUCCAGGACUAACCGACUAGGGACGAGAAGCAGGGAAUUGGGGAAGGGUUGGAUUUUGGGUUGCUGGUGUGGUGGACCAAACUAUUCCUUGAAAUUUAAAUCAGUUUGUUUGCUUUAUUUUUAUUCGGAUGGAAAUGUCAAAUGUUGGAGUAGUGUCACUUUCCCUUAAACUGAACAUUGCCAAAUUUACCCUUUUAUCAUAGUGGCCAAAGCUUGCAAGAAUUCCUGCUGCUGAUAUCUCGGUUAAAUAGAUUACUGUCUCAUUUAAUGAACUAUCCUGUUUGUUUUGUUGGUAGGCUUGCGACUUUAAUUCUUUUUUUCUAUCAAAUAAAUGACCAUAAUUCGAAUUUCCCUGAACCUUGAACAGUUCAUCAAAAUACAAUAAAGCACAUUUUAUGGACUACUAAGAGAUAUAUCAAUGUCUCCUCUUGCACUUUUGUGUAUAUAUGGAGGACAGUUAGUUUGGGCUGUUUGCUCCUUAAAUAUUGUAUUAACUUCAUGUCCACAUUCAAUAGUUUCUGGAAGCCUAAUUUUUAGAUUAUCGGCUACAGAAAAAGAAAGAGGAUCUUGUUGUUCCACUAUAUCUUUCCCUGGUAGGUUUUGACUCAAGUUGAUGUGGCAUGCUAACUUGGUUGACAAUCGAUCACUUCUGUAGAAUGUCUUAGUAGGUAUCAGUUUUAUCUUAUGUAGCUCUACUGAGAUUUUGUAUGUUUUAAGGUGUGUUCAUUUCUUGAGAACUGCAGUUUGAUGGUAUAAACAUGUUUACUAAGAGUCUUUGCAUCAACCAUCAAACUUGAGAUCCCAGCUACUUCUCUUAGGGAAGUUAGUAUUUACAGACCUCAAUUCUUGGCUCAGUGUCAUCAUUUCGGUACAUGUAUCAUGUCCCGUGUACGAGUUGUUGGGUUUUAUGACCUCUGUAUAUGAGUUUUGAAAGAUCUUCUGAAAAUUGACUUUGUGUGGGGGAUUGCUUACAUUGAUCUUCCUUUACAUUGAGGCUUCUGCUGCUGUUGACUUUCCUUAUAUAAAAAAUUGUAGGCCAAGAGCUUUGAAUCCAUUUUUCUGCUCGUUACAUGAACUCAUUAACAGCUUGUAUUGAAAGCUUAGUCAGAUGCUAGUGUAAAUUGGUUGAGUUGCAGUUAGAAAUGCAUGCUUAAGUCAAGAUAUGUUGCAGAAAAGAGGAAUUACAUUGUGCAGUAGAUGUGUUCCCUGUGAAAAUUCUCAGGAAUCUGCGGAUCAUCUGUUUUCGCAUUGCAAUCAUACAAAGCAGUUAUGGGAUCUGUUCCUGAAUAUGAGUGGUGUGCAACAAAUGAUGCCAAAGAAUGUGAAAGGCCUACUAGUUUGUUGACAGAAUCAGAAAGUCAGGAAAUAACUAACACAAAUCUAGAAAAGCAUACCUCUCUGCAUCUUUUGGAACAUUUGGUUGGAUAGAAUUAAGAGAUACGUUGAGAAUCAGAAGAAUCAUUUAGCUAUUCUUAAAACAUAAAAAUAGUCUUCUAUGUGUACUUUUGAUGUAGGGUAAAUCUGGUAGAAGACUUAGUUCAGUACAUGGAUUUUAUAGAAGUUUUGAGAUUAUAGUAGAUACAACUGUGCUGUAGUUUGUAUGCUUUGAGUACUUUCUUGGUACCUUUUUGAUGAAUUUUACCUUACCUAAUAAACUUUGUUUAUGUUAUUUUCAGGGGGAGUGCAAGUUUUACAAGGAGGAGUUGUCAAACAGUCCUUGAAGCCCAUUUGCUUUCAAUUGGAAGGAUAAUUGCUCCCAUCUUACCCCAUUUGGCUGAGGAUAUGUGGCAGCAUCUUCCUUUUCAGUAUACUGCUGAAGAUGGGCAUGUUGCUAAAUUUGUUUUUGAGUCAAGAUGGCCUGAACUAGAUACAGAGUACCUUUCCUUUCCAGAGGAAGAAGUUGACUUUUGGGGAAAAAUUCUUGAGGUAACUGCUAUACAUCUGAGCCAGCUAAUCCACAUAGUUUGGCCCAAAACUUUAUUUGUUACCAGUUGGUUAAACUUAAGUUUGGCUUAGUAUUCCAAUCUGGCGACCAGUUGCUUAAGUAAGCUCAAAGGGGGCUGAUAUCUGUUUAUCUAUGAGCCAUACAAGUACAGUGCAUAUUGGUAUCUUUAAUAAUUUGAGGGAGCAAAUGAUUGUCCAUGAUAUCAGAUUUGAUUUUGUUUAAUAAUUUAAACUAUUCGUGGUUUCAUUCAUGCUGCCAAAUAGAGCCUAUUUGCUUUAUAUUGAAUCACUAUCUUCUGGCUACUUUAUCAAUCAUUUUCUGAUGAUGACAAUUUGAACAACUAUGACCAGCUAAGGACGGAAGUUAACAAAGCAUUAGAGGUAGCUCGAAGUGGAAAAUUGAUUGGUUCCAGUUUAGAGGCCAAGGUGUAUCUCCAUUGUUCUAAUGAAAGACUGGCUGAGAGACUAAACAACAUGUGCGAACCUACAAAUGAGGCAGAUGCUUUACAUCGCAUAUUCAUAACAUCUCAGGUAUACUGCAGUAUUCAUUUUAACUUUGUAUAGUUAGGACUCAUGCUCAAGGUUCUAUAGGUCUUGGUAUAAAUGUGUCUGUUACAUGUCUUUUAUGAGUAGUGUUCUCGCUAUGUUGUUGCCGAGUUCACUUGAGACUGAAACAAACUAAAUUGGAUCACACUUGCAACAAAUAUUGGUCAUCUUUUCAGCUGAAUUUCGUUAGACACAUGUGGUAGUAGUCUUAAAACGUGAAAUACGGUCUCUGUUUAGGUAUUCUAGGCCUCCAUAACAGAAAUGUCUUCUUUGAGCGCAUAAUGUAGUUGUUUUUGAGUACAUUCUUGCGAUAUUUGUCAGGUGGACAUUCUCAACUCCUUGCAAGAUGAAAGGAUUAAAGAUGUUCAGUACACUGGAGAAUACCUCAUGGAAGAAGGGGACAAAAUCUGGGUUGGUGUAUCUCGUGCAAAUGGCUCGAAAUGUGACAGAUGCUGGAAUUAUUCACCUCAAGUAGGUUCUUUUACUGAGCAUCCUUUGCUAUGUGGCCGCUGCCACAACGUGGUUAUCAGUCUACAAACUCGUGAUCUUGAUGAUUUAUCCAAGGUCACACAGAGUGAAGCAAAGGAGGCUAUAGCACAAUGAGAGAGAAAAACACAGAGAUAUAUAUAUUUUUUUUAUAAGUUAGAAUAGUAUUAUUUUUGUACAUGCAUUGAUGAAUAGAAAGAUAGUGAUUUAACUGGUAUUGUGAUGUUUUUUCGUAAUCGAUUUGAUUCAGACCUUAUUUAAUAUAUCCAACAGUAUAUUACAGGAUUAUUUUUAGACAUUGCUUUUAUUUUAUUGUUUAAAUUACUGUUUCAACUGAAAGAAAAAAAAUGAGCAAUAUUCUGGUCGACCCCAAUUUAAUAUAUGACCGUUUCGGUGAAAAAAUUUGCCCCCAAUUUUCAAAAUCCCUACUUUCUCUGUAACGCAAAACCCUCCGAUUCUGUAAUUUUGUAGAUUCCUGCCGUCAGCGGCGACCCUUCUCUCACCCACCGGUGAAAUUGAAUCGGACGAUUGCCAGGUUUCUUCUGUUCUCUUUCUCAUUCUUCUUUCUUCACUCUGCAAAACCAAUGUUGUUUUUGUAAAAACUGAGAAUUUCGAAGAAAUCAUGACAAUUUAACCAAAUUGCAUCAUCUAUGUUUCUUUGAUAUCUUGUUUCAGUAGUUCAUUUUAUUCGUUAACUUGAUGUGGUGGGAGCUUAGUCUGUUUUGAAGUAUUGACAUUAAAGAAAUGUGGAAACUGAUAUGAAGAAGGGACUUAACGUUUUUGAAUUUUGCUUAAGUUGUUUUGUUCGAUUCUUUGUUAAAGAAGAAGAAGAAAAGUAAUGGGAAUGAACUGUGCACACAUGUUAAGAUAUAAUUUCAUUAUUUCAAGAACAAUUAACUGUUUCUCCUGGUGAAUACAGUAAUAUGUGCGAAUUUCCUUUUCUCCGAAAGAAUCUUAAAUAAACAUGUCAAGAAAUAUUGCUCGCGUAAUUUCAAUCUACUUUUAUAGUAAUAUCCAGUCAAAACUGUUUUAACAAAAAUAGAGCAUUUUAUUAUCUCCAAAAAGUGUUACAGCUGAUAUGAGGGGAAAACACAAAGCAUUGUAGACCCCUUAACUGGUUUGGGAAAUAGCUAAAUGAUAUCUUUAUUACAAUGCCUAUGGGAGAAGAGUGUCUAGUCCUAUACAGGCCUUCUGCAUCAUCUUGUUCGCUAGUGGAUUGUUUUUGCAAUGCGUAUUGUUAACUGGUGUCUGUUCCCUAGUGGAUUGUUUUCCUUUUUGUCCAAUUAACGUCUAGAGCAGAUUUAGCCUUAUAUAUUUGUCGUUGGAAAUUGUCCUUUCUUCUCUAAUAAUUUUACCCUUUUUUCACCAUAAUUAACCAUGGUUUUCAUCAGGCUGAACUCGAAAAGGCGCAGACUUGAAGAUCCAGCUGAACUUGCGAGCUCAAGCAGGAACCCUUGUAAUAAAAAGGAGGUACAAAGUCCAACAACUCCAGAUCCAGUGGUUGGGCUUUCUGGCAGUAAAAGUCAAGGAGAUCAGUUAUUUGGUAAUGUCUUGAAACAAGUCCAUCCAGAUAAUGUGAAACUUAAACCUACCAUAGCCAAGUUUAUAUCUGGUUUGGGUGCACCAGCAUCAUCAAUCCAAGUUGAGGCUAUUCAUGUGAAACGUUCCAGUUUUGUUUACGAAACAAAGUUGCAAUCUUUCAAUCUACUUUCAGAGGCCAUGACGAAAAAAUGCAAUGAUAAUCCUAUUUUGAAGAUUGGUUGGUAUGGAGCUUCCAAGGAAGAAAUUGUUGACAUAAUUACGAUUGGUUUAUUCGAUCAAGUUACCGUCAUGGAGUUCAGUUUUCUGCUUAAGAUUACCCUCUUGAUUUUCUCCAAACUGCUAUUCAAAACAAAGAUGGACUAAGACAUAUAUUGAUUUGCCAAGUGAUAGUAGGAAAAAUUGAAGUUGUCACUCCUGGUGCAGGACAGUUUCAACCUAGUUCUGAGGUUCUUAAUUCUGGGGUUGACAAUUUAUUUUCUCCAAGAAAGUAUACUGUUUGGAGUUGUCACUUGAAUACUCAUAUCCUCCCUUUAGGCAUAAUCAGUUUCAGAGUUUCUCCUCAUUCAAGUUAGUGAAGCAGCAGGAAACAAUAUGUUGAUUGAACUCAUGAAGUCCUUUUGUUCUGCUCAGGUAAAUCAUCAUAACCUCUUCACUGAAGCAGUCAUUAGUCGUUGUUCUGUCGUUACAGUUCAUGGGGUAUUUCUCCCUUAAAACUCAUGGUAGUGUCAGAGUGUCGAUUUGACUAACCACAUGGUCACUUAAAGUAACAGAGCUAUGCAAAGCAAGGGAUUGGUUAUCUGUUCAAAUCCCUGAAUCGUGUUGCUUUUUUGUAUUUCUAUUUUAGAUACAUUAUCUAACUUUAUAACUCUUCAUUCAGCAGCGUAUUUAUCUCAGCGAAGACUGCCAGAGCAAUGACGACACAAGGAUUCUGUGUUACCGUGGAUUGCUGACUUUACAUAUAUCUGUGUAGCAAAUACUUCUUUUACACCCCACCCCCCCUCCAUUGGUAGUAGUCACUAGUAUAACAGUUUUUAGUUGUUUGUAGGAGUAACAACUGUUGUUGACAGUCCUUGUACCUAAGGUGGUGAUGUUAACCUGUAAUGCCAUUCUAACAUGGUUGUCUUUAACCUUUCUAGCAGUGAUGAAUACUAUCCUUUCACAAAUGUAUAUUCUUGAAUUGCUAUUCUAACAAAAGUAUGCCUACAAUAAGGACGUAUUGGAACAAGCAAUAAAGGUUGUGGUGGAGUGGUAAAUAUUCAUUUAUAGUCUACUCACCAAGUUUUGUGUUCACUUAAGCUGUAUAAUCAUCAAUCUUUCACAAGUAAGGAAAUCUUGUAGAUACAGAAAGAAAUAUCCUCGAACUAUGAGAACUCACCACGAAGCUGCUAAUUAUAGGCUGGAAGUCAAACUACGCGUGAGCUGGAUGAUGAGUGCCUAAACCUACAUCAUAAAAUGAUGUAGUGUAAAGUAUGCCUCCGUACUUGAUAUGUACUGAGCAUGCAUGAUAUAGAUACCAAGUUGAACAAUGAUAUAACAAAGCAAUAUAAUAAUGAGCAUGGAAAAUAGAUUGUACUGAAAUGUAAGGGAAAAGCUAAGCUAGAUGCAGUGACCAAGUACUAAUCAAGUAGCUAAUAUAAUGCACUAAAUAUUGAAAUCAUGGUCAAUGCAAUGAAAGUCUGGUUGUGGGAGCUACUAUUAACCAAUAUAAAUUACGUGAGCUAAACGUGGAGUUCGAUGUACACACCACAUCAAGAGGAUCCAAUAUACCAUACUAGGGGUAUAAAGAUACGACUGAGGCGUGAUCACUAAAACUGGUGCCCAACAGAGGGGACUUCUGAACCUAUGUUGGCACGUAGUUUUAAACAAGUGAGGGUAUGUUGAGAUCUAGUCCAACUCGGUGCUAAGUCUACUUCCAAUUGAAUGAAAAGCUAAAAUGCAACAAAGUACUGAAUAGCUCAAAAUACUUACAUGUCAUCUGGGAAUGCACAUAAAUAUACUAAAAGGUAAUGGCAUUCAAAUUCUAAAGCAUGAUCUUAUGACUUAUUUGUCUAGCAAGUAUAAUUUAUGAGUGCUGAUGAUUAAUGUAAGCCAAGGUUUUGAAUUAUAUACAUGGAACUAUGAAAAUUUCCAAUAAAACAUGCUAAUUAGAUUAUGGAAACCAUAGUAGCUAAAACACAAUAAAUCUCCAAAGUUUUAAAAACCCUAGGUCUAAGCAUGCUAUGAAGAAUUAAAAAACUGACUGAACUCUAGGGACCUAAUGGACUAAAAGAAUCACUGGUGAAAUUCCCACCUACUCGGUGACCAAAUCUAAGGAGAAAUCCUUUAGUUUUUGGAAUGAACUUGAAAAAGACUUCUACUUGUUCUUGUGAGUAAUUGUAGACUCUUGCUUUUUCUUUUCGUUCUAAUCUAGGCGAUUUUAGGAGAAUGAGAGUUCUUAGUAGUUUCUGACUAGUUUACUAAGCUUAGACACAAUAAAAAGAUAUAGUUUAAGCAAUACAAAGUGCAUAGGAAAAAAGAUCAAUGCCAUCCUGACUAUGACUCAAACAGGGGCUUCACGGGCCGUCAUGAUGACCAAGACCCAUCUAGCAACUCAUGAAGAUGCAUUUCCCGAUGAGACUUCACUAAAACGGGCAUAACUUCUUACUCAGGAUCUAGCCGGAAGUCAAUUUCUCCUUUCCAUGAUUCACUUUCCUCUUCGUUUUCAUCACGUGAGUCGUCACCAAGAUGACACAUGAGUGAUGUUGAUUGGGUUGACUUUUGCUCUGUUUAAAAACAAACACAUUAUCUCUAAAUCUCCUUAAAGAGGAAAGACAAGUUGUUCCGAAUUUUCAAAAAGAAACAGCAACUAUGCAGUCAUCCUAUUACCCCCUAAACAAUUUUAACGUGAAAUAUUUACAUUAUUUUUUGAUCAAUCUCAGAUAUUAAAAACCAAAUAUUUUACACACAAAUCAUUAUGUGUCACGUGUUAAUUUAUUUUAAAAUAAAAUUCUUUUUCAUUUUAAUUUUUUCUUUACCUUUUUUUUUUUCUCUCUGUUACCUUUGCUUAUUUUAUUUUUAAUUAUUUAUUUUAAUAUUAUCUUACAUUUCACUUCACCUUCCAUCAUCCCCCCACACCCUCGUCAAGCUGUGUCCCUUCCCAUUUCUUUUUUUUUCUUCUUCUUUCGUCAAGUUUCAUUCUUCCAGUAAUUUUUUUCUUUAAAAAGUUACAUUAUUUUCUAAACUUUUUUAAGUCGGUGAUAAAAAUUAAUUAUUUUUUAGAAAUUUUAAAAUAUUGAAAGUAUCAUCAAUUAAUUUUUUUUCAUAUAACUUCAAAUUAUAAAUAAUUGAAAGAAUAAAUGAAUACCCUCAAAAUUGAAAGAGCUUGAUGAAAUAUGAAUAGUAAAGUUAAAUGAUACCUUCUAAUCAUUUUGAAAUUUAAUAGAUUCAUCAAAUAAUUUGAUUUUUUUAAAAAAAAUUAGAUAAAGGUUUAAAACUGAAGAGACUUUACCUAAUAAUAGUUUUAAAAAAAGAGCGUGGAAUUGUGGUAAAAAUUACGGCACUGAAAGUGGAGAGUUUUAAUAGAGAAAAUUAGGGGUGUACAAAAUCGAACCAAAUCGCAAAUCGAAUUAAAUUGAAAAAAAAACUCGACUAGUGAUUUAGUUUGACUUGGUUUGGUGUUGGAAAAAAAAUACGACUAUAUUUGGGUUGGUUUGGUUUCAACUAAAAAAGACCAAUUUGAGACCAAACCAAUCGGACAUUAUAUAGAUAAUUUAAAAUUUUUAUUUUAUACGUAGAAAUAUUUACUUUGAUAUAAUUUUUAAAUAUCUCUUAUACUUUUUCAUAGUUUUUAUCUAUUAAUAUAUUCAUUUCAUGUUUGGAAGUUAUAAUUCUUAAUGAUCUAAUAAAUAUUAUAGUUCAUACAUACAUGUUGAAAAUUAUAAUAAAGUUUAAAUAAAAAUCAAAUUAAUAUUAAUGCAAAAUGGAAAAUCAAUCCAACACUAAGAAUGACAAUAAUCUUGAAUAUUUGUUUUUUAGUUUACAUAGAUUUAGACAAUUAAAAUACAUGAUCUAAUUUUACUUUCUUUUAAUAUAUAGUCAUGUAACUAAUACUUACUAAACUUAUUUUAGCAUGAUUUAGUACUUUAAAUUAUGAUCAAUUUCAUUAUGACCUAUUAAUUUGCAAUAUUUGUUUUACACGAUUUUUUUUAUUUUUUAUUUUUGGAUAUUUUAGUGUCGUUAAUCAAAUCAUAUUUUUUAUUAUUUGCUUGAGAAAUAACUUAGAUAGUUGCAUUUUGGUAGGACUAAAGAAAUAUUUGAAGUACAAGUAAAUUAUAUGUUUGUAUGAAUACUUUAUCAAAAAAAUCUGAAAAAACCCGAAAAUCUGAAGAAAAACGAAAAAACCCAAAGUUGAAAAACCCGAGUCUUAUUGGUUCGGUUUGGUUUAUAAAUUCAAAAAUGCGACACAAAUAAUUUGAUUUGAUAUUUGAAAAAUCAAAAUCAACUCGGUCAUGUACACCCCUAUAGAAAAUAAUGAAGUUUUGAAGAAGAAAGAAAGAGAGAAAAUAACAAAGAAAAAAUUAAAAUAAUAAGAGAAACAAGAAAUUAUAUUUUAUAACAAAAUACCUAACAAAAUAAAGUUAUAUUCAAUAUUUUAUGUUGUUCACCCUUUAAAAAGAUUUCAUACAAUCUCUAUGCCAAGUGGACGAAAUGAUGUAAUAAUAUCAGUUCAAGAUUGUUUAGGAGAUAAUAGGACAUCCGCAUAGUUAAGUUAUCUUUUUGAAAAUUGAGGACAUUUCAGGUAUCACUUUAUGUUUUCUCUUUCCUUAAAUAGUUACUUCGUAUCAGUUUAUAUUUGAAGAAUUUUGUAAGAAUAAUAUAAAUCAUAGUAAUUGAUAAUUUAAAUAUUUAAAAAUAUAACAUUCAUUUCCAAGAUUAUUGAGGAUAAUUUUCAGUAUUAUAUGGAAAAUCAUUCAUAUGAAUUGCCACAAGGAAGUAUAGGAAGGUAAACAGAGAGCCCAUAUAAACAAUUGACUGUUAAUCUUGUUUAAUUAUGUGAAUUGUGCAUCAUUGCAAUCAAAAAAAACUUUAAGAAAAUGAGUAAUAAUUUGGAAUAGUAUCUAAAAUUUUAAAAAUAGUAUGUUGUUGUUUCUGUGGCUCCUCCGCAAUUAAUUAUUGCAAAGUCAUCUUUGUUGAAGAAGAAGGAAAUUGACUAUUGUAACAUAUCAACGAAACAGAUCGAACACAGUUGAUUGACCUAUCUGUAACAAGUGUUGAUGAAAAAAGAAAUUGAUGAUUGGAACAUGUCAAAGGAACAUGUCCAACGAAGCUGACCGACGAGUUUGCGUCAUUGCUAUAGAAUUGGAUUCACAUUAUGAUUAGACUAAUUAAAAUAAUUAGGAUUAUAUUUCGUUUAUAAUUAUAUUAUGAUUAGAAUUAUAUUAUGACCAGUAUUAGAUUAAUAUUAGAAUUAUAUUAUGAUUAGAAUUUAUAUUAUUUAUAAUUAUAUUAUUAUUAUUAUAGUAGUAAUAGAUAUUGUAGUAGGACUCUAAGUAUAGUUAACUUAGGGCUCAACAUUAUAUUCAUCAAUUUAUCAAUCCUACCAAUAUUGAUCAAUAUAUCAAUUUAUCAAUAUUGAUCAACCUAUAAAUAAGUCAAUAAUUAUCAAUACAAUCCUUGAUUUCUCUACGCAAAAUUUCUACAAACAUAACUCACUAAUAAUUUUAUAAAAAGUCAAUAGUUUUUAGGACCAUGCAGCUCAAUAUUUGGUCAUUAAUACGAUACUUAUUUGUGGCUACAUUGAAAUCGUAACGUGCAAUUAAUCUACACCUCACAUAUUGCGCUUUUAACUAUUAAACAAAAAACUUGAGGAGCCUGUCCAAAGGUCUGGACUGUCAAACCACAAAAAAAUCUUAAUGUUAAAUGGAAGAAAAUCAAACCAACUACACAAGGCAAUAGAUUGGACAACACCAUGAUUAAAUAAGGUCCAAAAAUUUAUAAUCUUUUGACUAACUUUUAUCAAUGGAUGAUUUUUUGCAUUAUUAUGUCAACUAAAUGAUAAUCACAAUGAAUGCAUAACAAUUGAAAUUAGUAACUUGAAUAUAAGGCAAACGUUUGUGCAACAAGUUAAAAUAUACUGAUUGUGUAAUAAUUCAUUAAGAUAUCACAAUAUAAAUAAGUUAAAUGCUUUGAGUUUUUAUAAGAUCAGAAUCCAUAAAAAUCUAAAUUGUGCGGACUAUUCACUUUCGAUGCCUACAUUUUUGUCUGAUUCUCCAAAAAUACACUACUUUAGAGAAUCCGACACGCACACAUUGAUUUUUUUAAAAAGUCCAAACAACAUAGAUAAAAAUCAUAAAAUUCAAUGCCAUGAAACACUUUGAUGCUGCAACAAAGGUUUUAUUUUCAUCACUUGUCUAUUCCUACCUUUAUUGCCAUCUUCUAAUUUUGUACAAAAUUAUGCAUCAAGCAAAUCAAUCUUUAGCAGAUCCUAAAAGCAUCACCAACUACUUUGAAUAACCAUGUUAGCAGUUUUGUCGAAAACAUUACACCAUUAUCCUCUUUACUACAUUGUAGGUAAAAUGUAUGUUUAAUUUUUAUAAUUCUCUAGGUUUCAUUUGUUGGAUUAUAUCAGAUAUAUUGCUUUGUUUAGUUUGAUAUUGAAAGAAAAAAAAAUAAUCAUACUUAGUUGAUUUGGUUUGAUUUAAAAAAAAAAUGUCGAGAUUAGAACCAAAGGCGUAUCCAGAAUUUUGAUAUGAUUGGUGCACUAUUAUAAAAAGGUGAGUCUAAUCGAUUUGACAACAAUUAAAAAUUGAAAUUAUAGUUUCAACAUUGAAAUGCUUGAUUGAUUAAAACACUAAAAAUGCUAUCAAUAAUCACUUAGAUAGAUGUUGCUAAAUUUUAGAAAUAAAAACAAAACAAGAUAUACAUUUUAAUUUAUUUCAUAUACACUUUCAAUCUUUUUUACUUAUAUAUAAAAAUAUUUAAAAUAAUAAUACAUACUACCCAAACCCAUCCUACCCCACACCCUUGCUUCAUCAUCUUCUUCCCUCCAACAUUUCAUAUUCUAAAACACAAAACUCAAUAUCUUAUCAAAAUAUUUACCAAUUUAGUUUUUUUUUUUUCAAAAAAAAAAAAUCAUACCUAAUACAUGAGAGAAACAUAUAUAGAGAUACGUACAAGAGUGAUGAAGAAGCAGAGUUUAUUGACAGAUAAUCAUUUAAAAAUCGAUCACAAAAAAGAAAUCAAGAGGAUCCAAAUUAAUUUUAUAGAAUUCUUAGGUAAUAAUUUUUACAAGUUAAAUGAGUUUUACAUUUUAAUUUUGAGGGGUGAUGUUUGUUAAAAGGUGGCCCAAAAUGGGGCUAUCAACUAAAUUUUUUUACUUCAGUGUCCAUAAAUCUUCUUUCUUCUUUCUUCUUUCAUUUUUUAAAAUCCAAUGCAGUUGGCUUGAAAACUAGUUAAGGUGAAGAAGAUGACCGAAAGCGGGGGUGGGAGGCUUUUUCUUUUUGCGAUUAAAAAGUUACUGAUUUCAAAAAUAUUUUAAAAUUCUUUUAAGUCAUUUACAAUGCUAAGAUCAAUGGAAGAAGAAAAAUUGAAGUUCUCUUUGAAAAAAAAAAUUAAUUUUAGAUACCUUCAUGCGCCAAAGGAAAGUGAAAAACACUUUCUGCCAUAUCAAUAUUUUGUGUCUAGUAGUUAUACAUUUUGAACAAUUUAGGUGUUCAAUAGGUACUAACCCUAGUUGAAGUGUCUAAGUGAAAUAUACAGACAACUUCAAGGGGUUGUAGAUGACUUAAGCAUAUGAGGAAUAACAUGGGAGUAGCUAGCCGAAGGAUCUAGGUGGAGGGUUAUAUAGACAAGAGCGCGGAGUCAGGUAGUGUGGAAGGCGUUUUACCCCUUAUAUGAAAUCUCCCGCCGCAUAUUCACAUUUAAUCGGGGUCCAAUGUCAAUACCAACACAGGAGAGAAACUUAUUCUGGUUGGCCACUAUAGUGUAUUAAGACUGAAAGUCUGCUAGGUAGUCUACAUAGAAGGGAAGUUACCAAACGUGGGAAAGAGUACAUUUUUCUUACUCGAAAGAACCGCAAUCAUAGUAUUUAGGAGAAGGAUACGAUGCUUUAUUGUUUGGAAUUUCAUUAGGGAUAGACCUAGGAUUUGUUGUUCAUCUUGUAUUCCUAAGAUACUUAGAACAAAACUUUAUACAACUUAGUAAGAAAUAACAAAAGAGUAUUUUCAAAAACAGAAAAUUAAGACUAGCAGAGAAAAUAGGAUCAGAAACUGAUUAGAAACAAUAUAAAAAUAUUUUUCUCAAAGAAAGAAAAUCGAGUCCACUAAAUGCAUAGUGUUCCCUUAAGGAAAUUAUUCCCCUCAGGUACCUGAGGUUAAUGCAAUAUAUCCUCACAUGAUAGAAGGAUCUUACUCAACGAUGUAUCGAUAUCUAAAACCACGGUGUCAACAAAUCUCUCAACGACAGUAAAGUACACUUUGAAUACUAGAUUUAGUAAUAGUAAAAGAAGUCUAGAAAAAUUUUGUUUUUAAAAUGAGAGGAAAUUGAGGUCCAGGGGGUUGGGGGGAGGGCUUGGAGCUCGGUGCCUCGAUGUCCGGGGGUGGGAGGGAUCGGGGUGAGGGGGCUUCAGGGAACGUUGCCUCAAGGGGGGGGUGGGGGUUCUCAACUUGCAUAGUUUUGUAAUGGCUUGCUUAGAAUUAUCUUGUUUUCACUUUCUAUUUAGAUUUUAUAAAACAACGCUUUCAGUUAAAUUGAUUUCAAAUUGGGGAUAUGUUAGUCUAUGUUGAUUCGAAUAUCACCGUUAUUAAAAAAUAAAAAAGCAUGAGUCGGGAUGGACUAACUAUUCUCUUAAGUUUUUUUUGUCUAAACUAUCAUGAGUAAUCUAUCAAAACACUUUUUAAAGUUGGCUAGAUCAAGUAUUUUAUUACAAUCCUUAGUAAGUAUAGACAACUAAAUUUAUCCAUAAAUUUCGCCCAUAUGGUAUUUGACUCAUUAUUUUCGAAGUGAAGUGAGUUAUAGUUAAUAAUUAUUGACAAUUCAGAUUAAGAACAUUUUUGACAUUGUCGUUGGGAGCCUCAAAACACUUAUUUUUGAGGAAAAAAAAUAAGUGUUUGGCAAACCUGUAAAAGUGUUUUUAAAUAGAAGCAGAAGCUAAAAAAUUUCUGCUUCGAAAUGUGUCACAUUAAAUGGAACGAAGAGAGUAUAAUUUAGGACAACUUUCACAUAUAGCAAAUAAGAAAUUCAUAUUUGUAUGCUAUAACAAAGUUUGCAUAAUUGUGCUCCAUAACAAACAUAGAAACUAUAUAAUUCGCUAUACAUAUACAAUUGAAUCAAAUUGUAUAAAACGAAGUGUAUAAAACAAGAAAGAGAAAGACAGUUGGGCAGAGAACUGUAUAAAAACGAAGUGUAUAAAACAAAUUGUAUUAUUAUAAGUGUAUAGAACGAUUAUAUACAAUUUGAAUUUGUAUAAAAUGAGAAAGAGAGAAAGACAAAAGAGACUUGACAAGGAAUAUACAAUUGAAUCGAAUUGUAUAAAACGAUAAAGAGAGAAAUUAGAUACAAUUUACAAUUUGAAAAUUGUAUAAAACGAGAAAGAGAGAAAGGCAAAAGAAACUGGGCAGGGGAGUAUUUUUAUUGUAUAAUUAUAAGUGUAUAGGACGAAAAUAUAUGUACUUGCAUGUGUAUAUACAAUUUUCUCACGCUUUAUACAAACAGAAAUACAAUUUAUACAUUUCGCUUCUGUUUGUAUAAGUGAGAAAGGAGAGAUUGGCGAGCGAGAUCUGAAAGAGGGGAGAGAAAGAACAAAAAUAUAUGUUUUUAUACAAUUUUCUCUGUUUUAUACAAUUAGAAACAAUUUUUAUACACUUGUAUUUGUAUAAAAAGUAAGGAUGCGAGCGAGAGACUGGAGAAGAGUGACAAGCGAGAUAUUUGGCAGAGAGACACUGACAAUUUUUUCAAACGUUCCCUAUGAAGCACAAUUAAAUUAAACCCUAGCUACUCUAUUUAUUUUAGGUUAUUGAUUUGUUAUUAUAUAUACAAUUUUUCCUACGAUUUAUGACUAAUAUUUUUGACCGAGUGGCUAAAUGAUUAAACAUUCCCUUAUGCCAGUGGUUAGAAAAGCAAAGCCCGUGCUCCAACACAUAGAAGCUGAAUUUUCUGUAGGCUGCAAGGGGGGCGAGAGUUGGAAGAUGAGUACGCCAAUGGCUGCUUCUACAACUAUAGUCACAGGAAGAGAGGAGAAGAAAGUCUCCGUUAGCCGCCAUUCUUUCCGGCAACCGACAAUGUAAACCUCGUUAUCAUUAUUCUUUUUUUUUUUGGAUUGAGAGUAUUCAAUUGGUUAAUCGCUGUGGUUUUUUUGUACCAAUAAAUAUAAAUCCAGUUGCUAUGAAGGUGAAAUUCUGGACCGGCACCUCACGGCGAUUAAGAGGUAAAUUUAUCCGUCCUUCGUAUUUCUCAACUUGUCGCUUUUUUUUUUCUGCCGAAAGAUAUUAACGGUGCCCCGCCGCAGGGAGAUAGCCACAGCCAGAAAAUCCGACAUAUCUUUACCUGAGAAAUUUUGGCUCAAGGUUAGUUCCUACUCUCCUAUCCAGUUUUUUUUUUUUUUUUUGGAGCUUUAUAGUUCAAGCCCCAAUUGUGGUCCACCCCUCAAGGAAGAAGAUGAAUUAUCAAUGGUGUAUCACUUGCAAUUACUUCUUUAAGAUUGGGAAGAAAUUUUCUAUCUACGCUAAAAUUUUGAACUCGAGACCUCAUAUUUUUUCUUUCAACUUCAUAUAGACCGACCUUAUUACUCACAGUAGGGGAAGUUCUAUUUUUCAGUUUUUGCUAAUUUUCAUCUCAUACUCAAGUUGCCGAUCUGAUAUUUAUGCAGCAACAGUUUUCAGUAGGGGUGAAUGAAGUAACGCGGGUGCUUGAGAGAGUGCCCCCCGUUCCUGCUAAUGACCGUUCAUCACUAUCCCUUAAAAUGCAUUCAACUCAACUUCAGGUUUUUACCUUGCCUGCUCAUGAACUUCAUGCAUCCUCCUCACUUUCAUUUGGUUUCAACCUGUUCCUGUUGGAUCUAUAUGAUUGAGCUCAAAAGUGUCAAUUCCACAUUUUAGUUCUGUGUUCUUCCAAUUCAAUGCCUACAUAUUUUCUGUAUCUACAAGAUUGCAUGUUCUUUUGUAUGACGCAUUGAUUUGUUAACCUCUUUGACAUUGUGGAUAUUUAGGUUAUACUAAUAGCAUCUGAUUGUCAUCCGCGGUUGCUGACCAAACAUGUGGAAAGCUUAGCUAGUUCAAAGAAGGUACCAGUUGUAUUCGUCAAAGACAAGAAAAGAGGUUCUUUGAGAUUGGGUGAACUGGUCAAACUUAAAACUGCAAUUGCCAUUGGUGUUAAGGUAAGGGAAUUGAACUUCUUUGUUCCUGUGGAUAUUGAACUGAACUUUUCCAACAACAAAUGUGUGAUAUGGUAUGCUCCAUGCAGAAUAAAGGAAACAAGUUCAAUCAAUUUAUCAGCACUGAAAUACUCCACAAGUUUGAAUGACUAUAUUGCAAUGAGGCUUCAUACAGGGACAUUGAUCAAUAGUGUAUUGUGAAGGUGUAUCUAGUUUUUGAUUACGAACCUUGUAAAAGUGAAGUAAUAUGUAAUUUCAAGAAGCUUUCAUCUUCUUUACAAUGACAUGUACAUCAAGGAAGAUAACUUACAUGGUAUUCAUGCCGAACGAUAACAUGUUGCAGAGGCCUGCUGAAUUUCAUAUCUUAAUCUAAGCUGAGAUUAGGCUGCUUGAUUCACAAUGUGCCAGUCCAGUGGGUACCUUAUUUAAUACUUCCACUUGCAAGUGACAUCUGGGUUGCUUUGCACUUCGGAAUUAUGUGUUGGUGAAAGAAUCCAUCGCAUAUGGCUUCUGCUCACCCCAAAACUGUCGGUUCCAGAACAAUGCCUUAGGCGCUAGACUGUGAGCUAACAGCAGAUGGUGAUGGAUUGGUAGCACCAUUACUACCCCUCCCAUUUGUGUUGGCUUUGUCCACUUUGUCACUCUUUUUUUGGUCUUGCGGCUUCACCAUGACUGGUUUAAACUGACAAAAGAAAACAAAUAAUAAGAAUCAGGUAUAAAUUUGGUUAAGUGGGAGGAGUGAACGAAAAGAUUGCAUCCUCUACAAAAUUUCUUGAAGAUGGAAAGAUCUCAAAAGACGGAAUACUAACCUGAUAAACAGCAUAUAUGACAUUCCUCCUGAUCUGUGCCAUCAUCUCAAUGAAAAGGUUGUACCCUUCAAGUUUGUAUUCUAUUAGUGGAUCCCUUUGCGCGUACCCUCGUAAACCCACAGCCUGCUGGACAAACUUGAGUGCUUGCAAGUGUUCUUUCCACAGGCGAUCAAUGUUGUUCAAUAUUAGAAACUUCUCUGCUUCUUUCAUCAAACCUGGAGCUUCUUUCUCCACAAUAUCCUAAAUGAUAGGAACGAAUAUCCAAUAGUAAGAGGAAAAGGAAACGAAGAAACAAUUCGAAUGGAGAGUACGGAGCUUACAAAUGUCCUAGUAAUUAUAUUUGGUUUCUCUGUCCGUUCCAUUUCUCAGUGCAUCUUUUAUGUUGAUUAUCAAGAUCUAAUUUGAGUAUCUAGAAGGAUUACUACUUAAGUUCAACAAAACUGACAAGUUUGGUUGCAGUACUGUCUGUCUUAAGUCGAGAAAAUGUAACUUUUUAUGUAACUUUUUUUAAUGACUAUGGUGUCCAAGACAACUUCCACGCACCUCGAUUAAUUCCACAAAUUACCUGUCACCUCCCACCAGCAACAUAUACCAGGUAACUCUGUCAAGUGUGCCAAGGUUAGGAGGAACGUUAAUGUUGUGAUAUACUAAUCUGAUGAAAUAAUAUUGAUCAAAAACAUGUGAAAUAAUCUGAACCAAUGAGGUUCCAGAGCAAUUUUUGUUUGAUGCCCUAAAAGUCAUCCAACUAGACCUCUUCACAAGAUAGUCUAGGUUGACCAUGUGAAUCAACUGUAUCCUUCAAAAGACUCGUUUGUAAUUAGACUAUUUCAUGUUGAGCAUCAACAUGCAGAGUAGAUGUGCAACCACUCUUAUCAUGCAGAGUAGAUGUGCAAGAAAGCAUUUGGACUUUGAGGUAGUUUUCUCCUCCACCUACGAGAUGGCGGGAACUAUCUAAUGAUUGUAAAAUUCAGGCACUGGAAGGACUCCCUUUAAAAUAAAUAAAAUGAAUUUUAAGGGCUGUUCCACAUUUCAACUUGAUGUGGAGUGAAUAUUAUUCCUUGUCAACAAAUGAAUUUUAGAUUUGUGCGAACUGGCUCAACUAAAGGCUAAGAGUUGUAUUCAUUUAAUUUAGGUUCUGAUUCACUUUCCACUUGAAAGAUUCUGUUGAAGUGUGUGGCGAGACUAAACACUUAGGACCUCUGCCAGUGCCCAGUGGUACUUACUAAAUUGGGUGAACUGCGCCAUCUGGAAUCACAAAUUGUUAGAAAAGGUGUUAGGUCUACAAAAGAAUACUAGUUUUUGGGAGAAGUGAGAAUCGCUUUCAUGUUCCUUCGAAUUGAUAUUAAAUUGACCUGUCCUCGGAUUUAAUAAUAAUAAGAUCUCCCAACACAAGCAGGUCUAACAGGUUAUGUGAAAUGACCUUUUCUCAAAGGGAUGAGAAUUUUCACCUCAUCUCCAUACCUGAUCCCCUCCCCCCCCCCACCCUAAUGCCCAGUAGGCAUUACUCCAUCUCUUCAAACCAACCUUUUCGUUUUAAAUGCUUGGGUGUUCUAAAUACUUGAUAAUACGAUCCAUUAAUUAUGUUCAUCUUGCAAGAUACUCAACCUAAGUGGAAGUAAGAGCUGCAAGGAAAUUGGAAGUAUAACCAAAGAAAACUCACCCUCUUCUGGAGAUAUGCUUCACGUCCACGUAGCUGAAGAUACUGCUGCAAUUCCUCAUAAGUAGAACCAUUAGCCGCCAACAAAUCAGGUGUCAAAUCAUUCAGCAGAUAGCAAUACCUGUGAAGGUCAAGUAGCUCAGAGUAGAAUCGUAAUAUGACAGUACUAUUCAGAAUAUGGGUGAAAUGGAGGAGAGGUGAAAAGAACUAUGAGAACAUGAAGCUCGCAACUGGUUACGGCACUCUUUAAAUACCAAAACCUUUCCUUUGAUUCACAAAUGCCGAAAAAUGCAUGAAUUCAUGAAAAAAAGACACAUUAAAGAGUCGUCGCCGAGAUCAUUACUGUUGUAGCUUUGAAAUAAGCUUCUCAAGAUCCCAGCUUUCUUUUGGAGCAUCAGAACCAAUAUUUGCCUGUUACAUUCAAACAGAAAAGAAAACAGUUGUCACAAAUUCAUAUGCAAAAGAACGAACUUUUAGAGUUGGAAAUUAAUAAAUUUAUGUACCUGCAAGAUGUCAUUCAUUGUUAAUUCAGCAUAUUCAAUAAGGAGAGCUUGGAGGUCAUCCGCUUCUAGGGCCCUUCUUCUCUCGGUGUAUAUCCGGUCUCUUUGGCUAUUCAAUACCUCAUCAUAUUCAAAUAAUUGCUUCCUGAUGUCAAAAAAGUAAUUUUCUACUUUCCGUUGAGCUUCAUCGAGCGCUUUUGUCAACAUCUUCGAUUCAAUUGGUAAGUCCUCCACUCUAAAUGCUCUCAUCAUCCCCUGGAUGUCAUAAACAUAAUAAUGUCUUACAUGAAGAACCAUGAAGUGGUCAACGUCACAGGUUCAAAUCCCAACGUAAAAACAGUAGAUGAUUGUUUUCCAUCUGUCCAAACCUUGGGGGACGUCAUAAACAUAAUAAUGUCUUACAUGAAGAACCAUGAAGUGGUCAACGGUAACAGGUUCCACACGAUAAAAACAGUAGGUGAUUGCUUUCCAUCUGUCCAAACCUUGGUGGACAAAAUUUUCUGGUAUCUAUGUGGGUGGGAGGUAGCAAGUACUCCGUGGAAUUAAUCAACAGAUGAGUGCAAGCUGGCCCCACCACAGUUAAAAGAAAAAACAUAAUGCGUAGAGCACACGAUAAGUUACCUGAAUCCGAUCCCCACCAAAUAUACGGAAUAUGUUGUCUUCAAGACUAAGGAAGAAGCGGGAACUUCCAGGAUCUCCUUGUCUACCACUUCGACCACGCAGCUUCGUGCAUAUAAAUACUACAAUCAGAUCUCCAAUGGAAUGGUAUGGACAAUGGGAUGAAAAGGCACUAAUUGGUUUUGCACCAAUGUACUGCAAUAGCAAUGUUAUAGUACCUGAUUGUCAAUUCGCCGCGACUCAUGUCGUUCAGUCCCGAUCACAUGGAGGCCACCAGAUGAAAUAACCUUUGCACGUCAAAAUAAACAAAUCGGAAGACUAUCCAAUCAAAAGGGAAAAGGAGAAGACACUUUCUAGGGUAUAAAUGAGUCAAACUGAAGGCCAGAGCUACUUUUUAAAGGAAAGCGAUUCUUUUAUAUUGGAGUGAGGUAGAAGUUGUGCGCCACAGAAUCAUAUGUAUGUUCAGUACAUUUAACCAGCAGAAACAAAGAGAGCUUCAUGCUUGAACUGAAUGCCAGUAAUAUAUGAAAUGAAAAUUUCAGAAGUAUACAUAUAGUUUGAAAUGAAAGAGGAAUACCCAAGAUAAUUUAAAAGAUCACUAAACUACCUCCUUUUUUUCUUCCUCAGUGUAGACUUUAUAUUCUCCGACAAUUUCUAGAAAAGCACUGCGUAGCUUUGCAAUUACUUCAUCUUGAACAGGACCCUGUGACAUAAAUUAUAUGUUUGAGUAAUCAAAAACAAUAGAUUCUAUUUAUUUAUUUUGGCAAAUAUGCGUGACUCAUUGCAUCUCUCCAAACAGUAGAAGGAAAAUGUAAGAAUGUAUUUUUGAGUUCGAAAUAUUAGGAAGGUGAUUUAUCAAGUUGGAUUUUGAAGAGCUUGGAAUAAUUAAUAUGCUACAAUAUCAGCUUAUUAUGAUUUCCAUUUCCAUGUAGGAUUUUCCUCUGUAAAGCACAACUUGCUAUGGGCUAGUUAUCCCCAUUGGACAUAAGAAUAACUUUGCUUGUUUUGAAGUUUAGAAUACCAACAGGCUAUAUCUCCAGCCCAUGCCAUAUAUACUUACUCCAAUUUUUUUUCUCCUUGUCAAGACAAAGAUAGUGACAGUAUAAUAAAUUCUUAUUUUAACUUCACCUUUUCACAAGAAUAAGACAAUCGUUCCUCUGCUUCUAGUUCUGUCAACGAUCUCGGACCCCACAUUUUGACAGCAACUUCUACAGCUUCCUCAGCCAGCUUGGUCUUUUCUUUGGAUAGUGUGCAUGGAAAUAGACUUUCACUAACCUGAAUGAUUAUGUGAAUAUCAAUUUCGUAGUGAUCAAAACUAAAGAAUAUUUCUGAAGUUCCUUUACAAAUCAGACUUGCACUAACCUUCCAUGUCCUCUUUGGAGGAGGUUUCUUUACAGAGACAAAAACUCCUCCAGCUGGUCUGACAACUCUGCAACAUUCAUAUUAUUCACUAAACAUUGUAAUACUCUGAAGCAAUGGGUGCUUACAUCCAUAAUAGUAUACACCAGUAUUUAAUUUUAUUAAAUGACAAAUUAAUUAGGGAACAACACCAAUUCCAUAUGCCACCAACUGCUAUAAAUGAAUACCAACGUGUUCCUCUUGGGAGAAAAGAUGUCUAAUUCUGAUGCAAUAGCAUUAAACUGUGCAGAUAAUGACAAUUCAUGAGAACAAAAAUUAUCCAUGGAGCAACAACCUUGGCAUUAAUAUUUCUCGCAACUUCAGUCUUGCCAUGAAUUCUGCAUUACCACCAAGAAUUAUAUCUGUACCACGACCUGCCAUGUUAGUUGCAAUUGUAACUGCACCAAGACGCCCACUCUGUGUCACAAUCUCAGCUUCUCUUUCCACAUUUUCUGGUUUAGCAUUCAGAACCUUGGACAAAAAAUGUCUAUUAAAAACUCUUUAGAGAAUAACUAACUUGGGCCACUUGAUAGUACCCAAUAUAUGUUUAAAACAAUAUAAGAAAAAUCAGCAUGAAAAGGAAACCACAAUUUUCAAAAUCCUCACUUUCAGGUCAUAUUCAAACUUUUGAGCUCACCUCAUGGGGGAUCCCAGCUUCACGCAAUUGCUCUGACAGUGCAUCACUCUGCUCAACACUGGUUGUACCAACCAGUACAGGUCUCCCUAUUUUAUGCAUUCUAGAAAUCUCUACAACAACUGCUCUCCAUUUCCCAGAAGUUGCACGAAAGACUACAUCGGAAUCAUCCUGGAAAAAGGGAAAAGAGGACGACAAUAUUCCACAGAUGAAAAUUUCACACAUGGACUAGCAACUAAGAGUACAUACAUUUUCAAGUUGAUAUCCAUGCCAUUCAUGAAAAAGUUAACAGUUCAACGUCUAUUCUUCGCAAUCAUUAAAAGACUUCUCAACUAAGACUGAGAAGAAGCCAUAUUAUAAAAUCUAUCCAAAUAGUUGCUAACAGAAUCAGACUAAAAACCUCAGUAUUGGUUAACCACUAACAAGACAAUACGGGCAACUUGCCUCCAUCAAUCUUCAGCUAGAACUCCCCUGAUCCCAGAAAAAGGUAAACUACUGAGCUUGCGCAGCAUAGAAGCUGACAAUGAUCUAUGGGAAGUCAAUAGCAGACAAGCCCCAAAUAUUUUGAAGUUAAAGUUCUUUGGUGAUGAAUAAAUUCUUUGGUAGCACAAAACACCUUAAGAUUAUCAUACGCUUGUUUUCAUCUCAUCUCAAUUUUCUGUACCAUAGAAAAUUCCAUAGUUGGCACAUUACAUGUUUGCUUGAUUGCCUCAUUGAACACAAUAUUUAAAUGUCAAACUUGUCUUUAAUAUUAUCUUGACAAAAAAAAACACAAAAUGAAGAGUUGCUCGAGGUAGCAAGUGGUGAGUUGCUCGAAAAUUGUGCCAUAAAAGUAAUAUAAUACCCUAAAGUUCCAAUAAGAAUAUGCAAACAGAAGUUCCAAUACCCACUAUCCAGUAUAGUUGAGAUGGUGCAAUUGUGACAGCAUCGUAGCAUGAAAUGAGCCAAUGCCAAGUGCUCUCUUUGUUUGCCGCUCCUCUUCUUCCAAGGCAUUGAAUAAAUGAAGAGAGUGACCCUAGAAGAGGAGGCAAUCUCUGACAUUUUACUUUGCUGGGAGCAUUUCGGGGUAUAGGUCUAACCACCUCAACUCCCCGUUUCUGGCAUGCUAUAGUUAUUAAAGUCUCUCGACGGCGGGAAUGGGAGAUUACCAGUAAGCCAGAUGCUUCGCGAACCCUAUUCAACUUUAAGGCAUUUCGUUGCACUUUAAUCACCCUCGUGAAGAGGCGCACUCCGAUACCAUU